rnacentral:rRNA from 1 species
ACUAGGAAUUUUGCGCAAUGGGGGCAACCCUGACGCAGCGACAGAGCGUGGAUGAGGAAGGUCUUCGGAUUGUAAACUCCUUUUAUAUGGGAAGAAUAGAUGACUGUACCAUAUGAAUAAGCACCUGCUAACUACGUGCCAGAAGCAUCGGUGAUGCGUAGGGUGCGAACGUUAUCCGGAUGUAUUGGGCGUAAAGAGAUGCGUAGGCGUUUCAGUUAGUCUUUCGUUAAAAGUCACGGCUUAACCGUGAAGAUGCAUGGGAUACUGCUGAAAUUGAGACAUGAAGGGGUGAACGGAACUCCAAGUGGAGCGGUGAAAUGCGUUGAUAUUUGGAAGAACAUCAGAGGCGAAGGCGGUUCACUGGUCAUUGUCUGACGCUAAGGCUCGAAAGCGUGGGUAGCAAAACGGAUUAGAAACCCCUGUAGUCC